AUUGAAACUUUAGUGAUGCUCUAGAAUACAUAUAUGACCGAUCAUUCUCUUCCAAAGCUAUGAAACAUUCUCUCUCUUUUCUCAUCCAAACCUCCGGCUCCCACAGUAUCCUGAAUCAGGGUUAACAUUUCCGGUCACGGUUAGGGCUCCAGCGAUUGUUAGGGGUUUUGUGCAGAUGAAUCCCGCGACAAGGUACUUCCUGCGAAUCGUUCAUUUGAUUAACGCUGUUGUGCAAAACCGAAGAACCUGCGAACUCUUCAGAUUUCGUCUCAUCCAGGUUUCUUUUGAUAUUCAAUGAUUGUUAUUUUAAUGAUUCUAAUUGGAAUCUAUAGGGUUACUUUUUUAUAAGUUCAAUGUUGUGGUGAGUGAGAGUGAGGCACGUUUUGGUGCACAAAGCAUAUGGUUAUGCCAAGAACUCUUUUAGAACAGAAAACAUUUUGAAAGUUUAUAUGUAUGUAUGUACUAUGUGUAUUUUUUUUUUUUUAACUUUAGAUGGUUAGAGAUGCAGGAUUCCGAGAAGUGAUAGCAGAUGAUCGAACAAAAUAGGUUCUUUCAUAUAACCUCAUUGAUCAUUUUAUUCAAAAGUUUAAAUAUUAUUGAAAUAAUAUGCUAAUUAUACCUGCCACACUAAUUAUUUAUAAAAAGUUGGACGAUCAGUUUUUGUGGGCCUAUUUGAAUCUGUAAAAAAGGACACAUUUUGACCCGUUACCCAUAUUGUCUCACUCAUCAUCGCUCAAAAUCGAACAUCUGAAUGUCAAUUUCAAAGGUACGGUUACUCAAUUGUUUCAUCACUUAUGUUGAUUUUGUUGUGUUUUUGUUUUUGUUUAUGCUCCAACUAAACCCCUGUCAAUGUAAACCCAGGCGGCACAGACUUUAGAGAAUAGUCCAAUGUUGAUGAUGGGUUGUUUCCAAGGCUAAACGACUCAAUAAGAGUAGGCGUACCCUAAUUCACUUUCAACCAUUCAAACUUUAAUUAAUGCUGCGGUAUCACGUAAUGGUCGCAAUGUAGCCUUGGUUAUUCGCCUUCAUUUUCAUGAUUGUUUCGUUCAGGUUAUGAUCUUUAUUCCAUUCCAUUCCAUUAUGCUUUUUUUUGGUGAACUGUAAGGUUUUUUUCUAGGCUUCUAAUCUAAUCUAUAUUCGAUUAGUGACAUCGGUAAUCAUGUUUGUUUGGUUAAUAUCUGCCCAUUGCGUAACAAUGUCCGUUUGGUUGUUAGGGUUUAGAUUUCUUUAUAUGAUUCUGGUGUUUUGAAAUCAGUUUGUUUUUCUUAAAUUUACUUUGUUUUUUCUGUGAAUCCAAUACCAGAUUGUGUAAAUACGACUGAAAUGUGUUGGGUGUGAAAAGUGUUGUCUGUAGGGAAACCGUACUCAAAAUCUUGUUCUCUGCUGACGGUCAAAAUGAUCGAGAUCAGCCUUUGCAAAGGAUUGAAGUAAUAUCAUUGAUGAAUCUGCUCAAUCGUCUCUCGGAAUCACUUAAAUCACUGAUAUGGCUUCAUCUGAUUUCAUGAAAUUCAGAGGGCUUCAAAUGCGCUCAUUGGGGCAUGUGAAUAUCAGUAGGCAACGAACCACCUACACAAGAGCUUGUGGCCAGGGAUUUACAUGACCAUGUAUGGACGUUUUGCCAUAUUUAUUGUGGGUAACCUAAGCAUCACUUGCUCACAACUAGCCGGAGUCUCUUUGUUAAUGGGAAGAGGCUUUUGCAGGAGACUCGGUCUUGUUAAUUAUACUCCUCUGCAGUCAAACGUGCUAGAACCGAUGGUAUGUUCACAUGAUAACCUUUUUUUCUUUUUCCAGCUACCCUUUUACCUGUACACCAUUUAAUUGAUCUAUCUUCUUAUGAAUUUACUUGAAAAUUUGUGUUUGGCUACAUGUCAUUAUGCGCUAUCUGGUGCGUUGGUGUUUUAAUACAAUUAAAAGUGGUAAUUUUGACUCCUUAUCUUAGAAAGGUUUGAUCUCUGCCUCAGGGCAGUUGGGUGUCAUAAUCUAUUACACUUAAUUCAACUGUAAUGUUCACUUGGUUUUCUUGUGUGAUUCAGUCUUAUUUUGAGUGGUUGGCAAGACAAUAUUUAAUUUCAUGUUUGGUGUUUAGUUUUGAAUUUAUUUUUCUCUAAUUUCAGGUCAUAUAUAUUCUGAAAGAUAUCCUUAGUUGAUACUUGUAAAGCAUUAAUUAUCUAUAUGAAAAGUUCUCAAUACACAUUUUCAAAGGCUCCAAUACAUCUACAGAAAUGACAUCUAUUUUGGAGAUUUAAUUCCCUUGUUUUGUUAAAAUUUUCUCUUAUAUUUUAUAUUAUAAUAAUAGAGUAUGGAAUGAUAGGUUUUGUUUUUGUUGGAGAUAUUUUAUGGCUGGACAUGUCCGAGCUGUGGGAAUGUCAAUUUUUCAUUUAGGCCAAGUUGCAAUAUGCGUAACUGUACGCAACCUCGACCAGCUGAUCAUAAUUCAUUGUGAACUGUAGUAAGCUAGGUACAUCUAUUGAUCAGAUAUGUUUGUUGUGAUCUUCUAGCUAACUUUGAUGAAGCUUGUUUAUUAUAAUUGUCCAAGUAAGAAGUAAGUAUUGAUGUGGGUGUACCACCACCCUAUGCAACAUCUUAUGAUGGUCCAUUAUCUGGUCCUGGUGCUUCUGCUUAUCAUUACUACAACAACCGCCUUGCUGGAGGGACCGCCUAUCGACCGCUGCAACUUUCCGCCACACCCCCUUAUUCUGCUGGCCCCAUCAUUGGUAAUGAACUGGAUGCCACGAGGGAGAAAAAUGGCAUAUAUAUACACCACAUGAUCGUUACCUGAGUGAAGAAGCUGCCAAGAAGGUUUUCCUCUAUAUUAAUUUUUUUGAUUUUCAUAUUAAGGUUGUAUUAUUUGACUCUACACGUAAUAACUUAAUUGUUUUUUGUUAUGUCUGGAUGACUGGACAUUAGUUGGCUACUCUCAACUGUUACACCAAAUUAGAACUUGCUGUGUUUUUGGAUGUGUCUUUAGGUAGGAUCCAUCUGAAGUAAUGCAUAGCCACAUUGUGAUGGUCCUUGCAAACCUGAUAAGACAUAUAUCUCUAUCUACAUGCUAAAAGUAUUGUUUAUUUUUAUUUGGAAGUUAUAAUUAUUGGUUACGGAUCUGGCCAACAGAAAUAUUUUUACCAUGUUGCGGUUUCAACAAAUAGAACGACAACAUUACAAGUUCUAAAUUGUCCAAAUCGUCCUUCUCAACUGUUACGCCAAGUUUUAGAUGCUACCUUACAUGCGGAUUAAGAUACCGAUGAGAUCUACAACUUAUGUAUAAUUUUUUUGUUGUUUUUAUGUUUGAAUUAUGUUCUCGCCCCGAGUUAUCGACUCCGCAGCAACGCGCGGGUUCCCCACUAGUAUAUAU